rfam:Lactobacillus animalis strain 381-IL-28 NODE_30_length_74361_cov_26.660305, whole genome shotgun sequence.
UGUGGUAGCGAUAGCACAAAGGCUACACCUGUUCCCAUUCCGAACACAGAAGUUAAGCUUUGUAACGCCGAUAGUAGUUAGGGGAUCGCCCCUUGCGAGGGUAGGAAGUUGCCACGC